rnacentral:rRNA from 1 species
AAUGGGGGAAACCCUGAUGCAGCCAUGCCGCGUGUGUGAAGAAGGCCUUCGGGUUGUAAAGCACUUUCAGACGUGAGGAAGGGUUGGUAGUUAAUACCUGCCAACAUUGACGUUAGCGUCAGAAGAAGCACCGGCUAACUCCGUGCCAGCAGCCGCGGUAAUACGGAGGGUGCGAGCGUUAAUCGGAAUUACUGGGCGUAAAGCGCACGCAGGCGGUCAUAUAAGCUAGAGGUGAAAGCCCCGCGCUCAACGUGGGAAUUGCCUUUAGAACUGUAUGACUAGAGUCUUGGAGAGGGGGGUGGAAUUCCAGGUGUAGCGGUGGAAUGCGUAGAGAUCUGGAGGAACAUCAGUGGCGAAGGCGGCCCCCUGGCCAAAGACUGACGCUCAUGUGCGAAAGUGUGGGUAGCGAACAGGAUU